GACGAACGCUGGCGGCGUGCUUAACACAUGCGAGUCGAACGGAAAGGCCCUGCUUUUGCGGGGUGCUCGAGUGGCGAACGGGUGAGUAACACGUGAGUAACCUGCCCUUGACUUUGGGAUAACUUCAGGAAACUGGGGCUAAUACCGGAUAGGAGCUCCUGCUGCAUGGUGGGGGUUGGAAAGUUUCGGCGGUUGGGGAUGGACUCGCGGCUUAUCAGCUUGUUGGUGGGGUAGUGGCUUACCAAGGCUUUGACGGGUAGCCGGCCUGAGAGGGUGACCGGCCACAUUGGGACUGAGAUACGGCCCAGACUCCUACGGGAGGCAGCGGUGGGGAAUAUUGCGCAAUGGGCGGAAGCCUGAUGCAGCAACGCCGCGUGCGGGAUGACGGCCUUCGGGUUGUAAACCGCUUUCGCCUGUGACGAAGCGUGAGUGACGGUAAUGGGUAAAGAAGCACCGGCUAACUACGUG
rnacentral:rRNA from 1 species